rnacentral:rRNA from 1 species
UGAACGCUGGCGGCGUGCCUAAUACAUGCACGUCGAGCGAACAGAUGCGGAGCUUGCUCCUCUGACGUUAGCGGCGGACGGGUGAGUAACACGUGGAUAACCUACCUAUAAGACUGGGAUAACUUCGGGAAACCGGAGCUAAUACCGGAUAAUAUAUUGAACCGCAUGGUUCAAUAGUGAAAGACGGUUUUGCUGUCACUUAUAGAUGGAUCCGCGCCGCAUUAGCUAGUUGGUAAGGUAACGGCUUACCAAGGCAACGAUGCGUAGCCGACCUGAGAGGGUGAUCGGCCACACUGGAACUGAGACACGGUCCAGACUCCUACGGGAGGCAGCAGUAGGGAAUCUUCCGCAAUGGGCGAAAGCCUGACGGAGCAACGCCGCGUGAGUGAUGAAGGUCUUCGGAUCGUAAAACUCUGUUAUUAGGGAAGAACAAAUGUGUAAGUAACUAUGCACGUCUUGACGGUACCUAAUCAGAAAGCCACGGCUAACUACGUG